AUGACAAAACAACGUGGAGACUGUGGGAGAAAGAUAACGGAGCUGUCUCAGCCCAGUUGAUUGAUGUCCUGGAGAGGAUCCCUCAAUGGCAGAGAGCUCGGUGACAAGUUCUAGAUGUUGCUGCAGGUGUUUUUGUUUGACCAUGUUUCUUGACUCCCUCAUUGCGACAAACUUCUCCAGAUUCUCUCAGAGCUUUUGAGGCCAACUCAUUCACCCUCAGUACCGUUCCCCUGGCCUACCCCAAACUUAUGCUGUUGAACUUGUUUCUCCAAGAAAGGACUCAGCAUUUCCAAAAUGCUUUUCAAAGCAUCACCAGGACAAUAGAACUCUUUUUUCUUGGCUACGGAGUCCUGCCGAGCCACAAACAGAUGGAAAAUAUAAUUCAUCCCCUCAAAGAUCUGGAAGAUACUGAGUCCCACAGCAUUUGCUCUGCACCUGGCUCUCCUAUGGUCCCGAUCAUCCAAAUGAACUUACAGGUCACUUUUUGGGUGUCUUUGUGCCAGUGAUUUUGCUGAUGGGUCUAUUUGUCCUUUUAUUUCUGGUUCACACGGGAGCUCAUUAUGGUAGUUAUAAAAUUAGAUUUGUGGUGUUUGGAACCUAGCAAAGAGAGCUAUGAAAUUGCAAUAGACUACUUAAUUAUCCAAAUUUUUAAGACUAACCUUAAUUCAUUUAUGUAUUGUUCCAACUGCACCCCAUCCCACAUUUUUUUUUCAAGUGGGUGUUUUAUAUUUUGUGCUGAUUAACCCCUUAUAAGUGAUACAUUGCACCUAUUUUCUCCUAAUCUGCAUUUUGUUGUUACUUUGUGGCAUCUUUCAUCAUGUAUAAACUUUCUUUUAAAUUUUGUGUAAUGAAAACGUUUAGUCUUUUUCUGUAUUUAUUUAUUUAGAGACUGAGUCUCAC
rnacentral:lncRNA from 10 species